rnacentral:rRNA from 1 species
CACGUAGUUAGCCGGCGCUUCUUAUCCAGCUACCGUCAACCCACCCACCAGGGGCAGGCCUGCUUCACUGGCGAAAGAGGUUCACAACCCGAAGGCCCCCAUCCCUCACGCGGCGUCGCUGCAUCAGGCUUGCGCCCAUUGUGCAAUAUUCCCCACUGCUGCCUCCCGUAGGAGUCUGGGCCGUGUCUCAGUCCCAGUGUGACCGUCCACCCUCUCAGGCCGGCUACCCGUCACCGCCUUGGUAGGCCAUCACCCCACCAACAAGCUGAUAGGCCGCGAGCCCAUCCCCCACCAGAAAAAACCUUUCCCAGACCCAUCAUGCGACAGACCCAGAAUAUCCCGUAUUAGCCACACUUUCAUGCGGUUAUCCAGAAGAAGGGGCAGGUUACUCACGUGUUACUCACCGUUCGCCACUCAUCCACACCCCCAAAAGGACGCGCUUCACCGUUCGACUUGCAUGUGUUAAGCACGCCGCCAGCGUUCGCUGAGCACGAUCAAACUCUACG